rnacentral:pre_miRNA from 1 species
GGGGGGAGGUUGGAUCUUGGGCUGUGUCCCCCGCACCAUAUGCUCCUGGGCCUUCGCUCCAGGGCCUGUGCUGUUGGAUUCGUGCUUCUGGCCAGGCAGCCCCCU